GGUCCAGACUUUGAUCAUGGCUCAGGAUGAACGCUGGCGGCGCAUUUAAGACAUGCAAGUCGAACGAAAAUUUACGCUUAAAGAGUUGAUUAGUUUACUAAGAGAUGAUUUAUUGUAAAUUUUAGUGGCGGACUGGUGAGUAAUACAUAGGUAAUCUGCCUUUUAGAGGGGAAUAGCUAGGAGAAAUCCUAGCUAAUACCGCGUAAGACCACACUUAGGCAUCUAAGAGAGGUCAAAGGAGUAAUCCGCUAAAAGAUGAGCCUGUGGCUGAUUAGUUAGUUGGUGGGGUAAGAGCCUACCAAGACGAUGAUCAGUAGCCGAGCUGAGAGGCUGGCCGGCCACAUUGGGACUGAGAUACGGCCCAGACUCCUACGGGAGGCAGCAGUUGGGAAUAUUGGACAAUGGAGGAAACUCUGAUCCAGUGACGCCGCGUGAAGGAAGAAGGUCUUCGGAUUGUAAACUUAUUUUAUCAGGGAAGAAGAAAGUGACAGUACCUGAAGAAAAAGGACCGGCAAACUACGUGCCAGCAGCCGCGGUAAUACGUAGGGUCCAAGCGUUAUCCGGAUUUACUGGGUGUAAAGGGCGAGUAGACGGCGCUGUAAGUCAGCUGUGAAAACUUAGGGCUCAACCUUAAGCCUGCAGCUGAAACUGUAGUGCUAGAGUGCAGGAGAGGUAAGCGGAAUUCCUAGUGUAGCGGUGAAAUGCGUAGAUACUAGGAGGAACACCAGUGGCGAAGGCGGCUUACUGGACUGUAACUGACGUUGAGGCGCGAAAGUGUGGGGAGCAAACAGGAUUAGAUACCCUGGUAGUCCACACCGUAAACGAUGGAUACUAGGUGUAGGCGAGAUAUCGUCUGUGCCGGCGCAAACGCAAUAAGUAUCCCACCUGGGGAGUACGGCCGCAAGGUUGCAACUCAAAUGAAUUGACGG
rnacentral:rRNA from 1 species